rnacentral:rRNA from 1 species
GACGAACGCUGGCGGCGUGCUUAACACAUGCAAGUCGAACGCAGUGGCGAACGGGUGAGUAAUACGUGGGUAACCUGCCCUCCUUUUUGGGAUAAGCCUUGGAAACGGGGUCUAAUACCGAAUAAAGGGGGAUGGGCUCGCGGCCUAUCAGCUUGUUGGUGGGGUGAUGGCCUACCAAGGCGGUGACGGGUAGCCGGCCUGAGAGGGUGGACGGCCACAUUGGGACUGAGAGACGGCCCGGACUCCUACGGGAGGCAGCAGUGGGGAAUAUUGCGCAAUGGGCGGAAGCCUGAUGCAGCGACGCCGCGUGGGGGAUGACGGCCUUCGGGUUGUAAACUCCUUUCACCAUCGACGCGGUAGAUGGAGAAGAAGCACCGGCUAACUACGUGCCAGCAGCCGCGGUAAUUC